UACACUCCUCACCGGCUGGUGGCGGUAAUGCUCCAACUUGUUGGUUGCCGAGCGCUAGAGCAAGGUUCGAGCUAACCACCGCCAGCCACGAGUUUUAAAGCGGAGGAGACACGUGUGAUGUAUUCAAGCAUCAGCUCUGGGUUUGUUUGUGCUCAGAUGUCUAAGAACUUUUCUCAAGGGCCUAAGAAAAGGAGUCCAGUAGCCCUCAUGGUGAAGGCACCGAAUGGAUGACGCGCCCCGGCGGUGUUGAAAUGCAAGUCUGGAGGCGAAAGAAAACCCUCUGAAGAUUUAAAGGCUCGGCCCCGCAGACUUGAACUGGAACGUCUUCGUCUCUAAAGACAGAAGAUCGAAGAAGGCGACUGUGGGACAUUUCUAGUCCAGAAUCUGUCUGCCAACAAGUUCCUUGUAGACUGAGUCAGAGAAAAGCCAAUGCUGACUGACAUGUUGCUCUGAAUCAACACAGCAGAGGUUCUCCACAACAUGAGCAACUUCAGGAAGACUAAAGCUCUACAAAUAAGUUUGUUGCUGUGAUAACAAAACGUUUUCCCAAGGAACCGGUGAGCUGCGAUUGUGGCGCCCGAGGAGCGUUCUGGAGCCAAGGGUCUUGCUCAGGGACCCAGAGUGGCAGUGUGCGGGAUUUGAACCAGGGAACUUGGAUCCUUCACAGAACAGAAGCGCCCUGCUCUGAGCACCAGGCCCCCAUUGACCCUGACUGCUGCCGACGGUCCUUGUUAACGUGACAUUGUAAUCGUUUGUGUCCACCGGUCACAUCUCGCUGUUCUCCUGCUGUUCUGCUGCGGUUCUGGCGGAGGUGACGGUUUGUCAGCGCGGGUUGCAGGUUCUGGGGCGGUCUUGCAUCAGCGGCCACCACACUUAAACGUUUGCAUUUUGCUCCUGUAAGCCAGACGGGUUUCAUAAUGUAGGAAUGCUUUUGGUCGGCCGUUGUGCUGAAGUUUUGAUGCAAUAAUUUCACAAGAAAUGCUGCAAGCAAAAAUGUACUGAACUUGUUGCCUGGCUAUAAAACAAUUGAAAUGUUCUAUUGAGGUUCA